rnacentral:rRNA from 1 species
AGUCACUGACAUUAGAUACCCCUGUAGUCCAGGGUGUAAACGCUGCAGACUUGGUGUUGGAAGCCCUUUGGGGGCAUUCAGUGCCGGAGAGAAGUUGUUAAGUCUGCUACUUGGGGAGUACGUCCGCAAGGAUGAAACUUAAAGGAAUUGGCGGGGGAGCACCACAACGGGUGGAGCCUGCGGUUUAAUUGGACUCAACGCCGGAAAUCUCACCGGAUAGGACAGACAUAUGAUAGUCGGGCUGAAGACUCUACUUGAUGAUCUG